rnacentral:rRNA from 1 species
CCUACGGGAGGCAGCAGUAGGGAAUCUUGCUCAAUGGGCGAAAGCCUGAAGCAGCGACGCCGCGUGCGGGAUGAAGGCCCUCGGGUCGUAAACCGCUUUCAGCAGGAACGAAAUUGACGGUACCUGCAGAAGAAGCACCGGCCAACUACGUGCCAGCAGCCGCGGUAAUACGUAGGGUGCAAGCGUUGUCCGGAUUCAUUGGGCGUAAAGAGCUCGUAGGCGGUUCAGUAAGUCGGGUGUGAAAUCUCCGUGCUCAACACGGAGCGGCCACCUGAUACUGCUGUGACUAGAGUCCGGUAGGGGAGUGUGGAAUUCCUGGUGUAGCGGUGAAAUGCGCAGAUAUCAGGAGGAACACCAGUGGCGAAGGCGGCACUCUGGGCCGUGACUGACGCUGAGGAGCGAAAGCGUGGGUAGCAAACAGGAUUAGAUACCCUGGUAGUCCACGCCGUAAACGUUGGGCACUAGGUGUGGGUCUCUAUCGACGGGAUCCGUGCCGUAGCUAACGCAUUAAGUGCCCGCCGNGGAGACGGCCGCGAGACGUAAACUACGAAGAAGUUAGUAGNGUUGAGAGNGCGAGGACGACGACGAGGAGAGG